rnacentral:rRNA from 1 species
CAGUAGCCGCGGGAAUACGAAGGGGGCUAGCGUUGUUCGGAAUGACUGGGCGUAAAGGGCGCGUAGGCGGCAUAUACAGUCAGGUGUGAAAUUCCUGGGCUUAACCUGGGGGCUGCGUUUGAUACGUAUAGGCUAGAGUGGGGAAGAGGGUUGUGGAAUUCCCAGUGUAGAGGUGAAAUUCGUAGAUAUUGGGAAGAACACCGGUGGCGAAGGCGGCAACCUGGUCCUUGACUGACGCUGAGGCGCGAAAGCGCGGGGAGCAAACAGGAUUAGAUACCCCCGUAGUCCCUGUCUCUUAUAC